rnacentral:rRNA from 1 species
AGUGAACGCUGGCGGUAGGCCUAACACAUGCAAGUCGAACGGCAGCACAGUAAGAGCUUGCUCUUACGGGUGGCGAGUGGCGGACGGGUGAGGAAUACAUCGGAAUCUACUUUUUCGUGGGGGAUAACGUAGGGAAACUUACGCUAAUACCGAAUACGACCUACGGGUGAAAGCAGGGGAUCUUCGGACCUUGCGCGAUUGAUUGAGCCGAUGUCGGAUUAGCUAGUUGGCGAGGUAAAGGCCCACCAAGGCAACGAUCCGUAGCUGGUCUGAGAGGAUGAUCGGCCACACUGGAACUGAGACACGGUCCAGACUCCUACGGGAGGCAGCAGUGGGGAAUAUUGGACAAUGGGCGCAAGCCUGAUCCAGCCAUACCGCGUGGGUGAAGAAGGCCUUCGGGUUGUAAAGCCCUUUUGUUGGGAAAGAAAAGCAGCAGGUUAAUACCCCGCUGUUCUGACGGUACCCAAAGAAUAAGCACCGGCUAACUUCGUG